rnacentral:rRNA from 1 species
GUGGGGAAUUUUCCGCAAUGGGCGCAAGCCUGACGGAGCAAGACCGCGUGGGGGAGGAAGGCUCUUGGGUUGUAAACCCCUUUUCUCAAGGAAGAACACAAUGACGGUACUUGAGGAAUAAGCCUCGGCUAACUCCGUGCCAGCAGCCGCGGUAAUACGGAGGAGGCAAGCGUUAUCCGGAAUGAUUGGGCGUAAAGCGUCCGUAGGUGGCUGUUCAAGUCUGCUGUCAAAGACAGUGGCUUAACUACUGAAAGGCAGUGGAAACUGAACAGCUAGAGUACGGUAGGGGCAGAGGGAAUUCCCGGUGUAGCGGUGAAAUGCGUAGAUAUCGGGAAGAACACCGGUGGCGAAAGCGCUCUGCUGGGCCGUAACUGACACUGAGGGACGAAAGCUAGGGGAGCGAAUGGGAUUAGAUACCCGUGUAGUCC